rnacentral:tRNA from 1 species
GGGAAGGUGGCUCAGUGGUAGAGCGCCUGCCUUGCAUGCAUGAGGCCCUGGGUUCGAUUCCUCAGCACCCU